AGGUCCCGUGGUUCCCGUCUCCCUGAGCCCGCGUCCUGCCGGCCUGCAGUGGGGAUGUUCGAGCUUGUGUUCACUUUUUUACCAGCCCUGUGUUCUGCUCUGCCUACCCACAUCCGGGAGGGAAUGGACAGGCAGAGGAUGAGCCCCACCCAGGGCCUGCUGGACUUGUCUGGACCUGGCAUCCCCUGGCCCAUGGGCAGUGCAGAGGACCUGGCUCGGUACAGCGUCCUCCAGGUGCCCCAGCUAUACCUGUGCCUCUGGUCUUCUCAGCUGCCUGAUGGUUCUCGGCCUCCCUCUCUGUUCUUUUCCUCACAGCAAAUAGCGUCAUGUGCUGCACACCUGGGCUGAUUCUUGUUCUGUUCCCUCAGCUCCGUGUACCUCUGGCUGCAAGGGAAUGGGGCCUACCCGCCUGAGCCUGGGCCAGGCCUCUGAGCCCCUGGACUGGCUGUUUCACGUGGCCAUGCCUGCCUGCAACCAUGCCUGCACAAGCCCCACCUUACCAGCAGGUUCAAUGCAGUUCACAGGAGGCCUGCGAGGAGCCCGAGUCUGUGCCUGCUGGUCGCAGGUCCAGGGCCUGUGACAUGGCAGGAGGCCAGGCAGGCAAGCACUGCAGGUAGCCCCUUAGAUUGCCCACCUGUAGGACAGAGAUUGGAGGUCCUCCCUUUUACAGAUGCCCACACAUCUGGAUGUUAUGAAGUUGUAUAUGGUGUGAACACUUUGUACUGUUGCUUGAUUAAAUGUAAGACAAUUCAUCUAACUUCGUGCUGAAUCAGCUUCUAUCCUUGACCUAGAUUCUAGUGGAGAGAAACAAGAACAGGCAGUCAGCGAAUAAGAAAAUCUGAAAGAGAAAGAAUACUCAUGAAGUUAGUAUAUUUCUUUUACUUUGGAGAUAAGGCUGGAAUUUUUUUUCUUCUUAUAAUCCAAACAUUCAAAACCCCUGUGCUCUUGGAGGCAUAAUUUGAGAACCGCCGAGUAAGUGGCCUCAAAAAGUCUUUCUCAGCAAUUCUUGGUAUUAGAGACGCUCUCCGUCUGGCCCUGCCCUCCUCACUGCCCUGCCCCUGCCAGCUCUGUCUCCUCCCUGCCCUGACACGCACCAGGCUCUCCUGAACAUGGGAGUUCCCAUGCCAGCAGGAGUCCCUCCUCCCUGAAAAUGUCCUGGCCACCCAAGCGCCAACCAGAGUCCCCUCCCCACCUCCCGUGACCUGUGGUCACAGCCCAGCCCACCCUAUGCCGGGUCCCUCCUGCCACCUCCUCAAGAUAAGCUGCCCUGCCCCUGCCUUCUGAGCAGGUGAGCAGGACCUCAGGUGUCACAAAGGGAUGCCUUCCAGUGAAAGGAGUCCUUUCUGUGGAAUGCUGGUCCUCCCCACUAAAGCGUGACUUUAGUCCCCAGCUUCCUCAUCACAGAGAGAUGGGGGAUGGGGGUGGGGAUAAUGAUACGCACAGGUGGUUAAGUGUCUACAAAGAGAAUUAUCUAAGAAAAAUACUCCUGCUCCCAUUUUAUGUUCUCUGAUCCCGGUCUUACCCUGCGCUAGACAGAUAAGCAUCGGACACCACGCCUGUCAGGGUUUGUAUCUCUUCAUUUUAACCCCAGUGCCUUGCCCAGUGCAAGCGUUUGGUCUGUGGGAACUCUUACUAGACAGACGCCUCUCAGUGGAGACAGAGCAUCAGAAAGUCAGAGCAGGAGGAACACCAGAGAUCUGCCAGUUGCCUCAUUUUAGGAACAGGCCCAGGAAGAGGAAAGUUCUUGUAUGGGCUGA
rnacentral:lncRNA from 1 species